GAGGACGACGUGUGCGUUCGUGAAGAAGAAACGUCAGAUUGACGUUCGCAAGACUUUUGUCGGAACGGGGAAGACAGCUGAGACGUAAGGGAGCACAGUCGCGUGUGAAAGCGACAAAUGAGUCAGCUGAUAGCCAACAGUUAUGAGAUACAGGCCGCGUCGCUACGCGUCGAGGAGCGAAAGGUCGCUCGAACGCUCGGAUGUUUGUUGAGAUUCGUAAGCGUGUUCUGAGCUGUUGCCACCGGUGGUGCCAAAUCGCCGCCGAACUCGGUGGCUUCCUUUGGCUAUUGGGCAGUCUCCUCACCGGCCGAAGCAGCAGUAGCGCUACAGGCUCUGUGGCUCACCUUGAUUCAUCAGUAGCGCCAAAGGGUAUUCGAAGGGAGCAGUGAAUCUGGGCUGGAGCUCCCGCAGGGUGCCGGUAAGAAGUUAAGUAAGGCAGAAAAAAGACAUAGUCAGGGCGGCAUCAGCAGGCAGAUUAGCGAGCGGACCUUAUUCUUACAUUCGUUCAUUGAAGUUAGUGUAAGUGUGCAUCGACGAGCGACGUCUAUAGGUUAGCAGGAGUGAGCUGGAGUGAAUCGUGCCUGACCAGCGGCGCACACAGCGACAGCAGCGAACAGCUUGAUUUGAAAUGUCUUUUCAUAACGGUAGUGCUGGCAAAACUGUUGGUAUCCCUGAUAUUCAACAGUUGGCCGUACCGUUCCAAGAGAGUCUUAAGAGGCUCGAACUGAACAUGCUUACCUUGCAUAUAGAAGAUGUCUCUGGGAGUUUCUGGAUCUCGGCACAAUAUUUCGUAGGUGGCGGCAGCUAUCAAACCAAUUCAGAAGACCAGGUCAGACUAGUUAGCUGAAAAGUACGUCUCGGCGGCAUUUUUUGAAUUUGGUCACGCAUUCAUCACGUUCACCACGCCCUUCAGUAUCCCGUUUUUGCCGUACCUCGUUCUCCGAAUCCCCUUCGUUCGUUGACAAGCUUAUGAUCUCACGAGUUAGCUGACAGACAUACAUUGCUCUAAAAUUUAGAUCAAGAGUCGUUAGACGCGGCAGGCCAUUCGGUUAUGAUGUUCUUUGCUAUUUUAAGGCCACGUCCCAAUGUAUCCGAAGAGGCCACCCGCAGGAGCGUGUCUGGUAAGUCAAAUUCGUCACCUCCGUUAUCACUACGCCGCUUGAUUCCCAGAAAUCCGUGUACAAAGUUCGAUACCGGGCUUCGAUGUGGUGGGCCGUGAUGGUGGUACGAAUGGUAAUGAUCUGAAACGCGAUAUGUCCUUAAAACGGUCCUGGCGGUAGAAGAAUAUUGGAACUGGCACUGAACAGCGCUGUUGGAACGUUUGUAAUCAAGUUUAAGGUAAACUUACUAAAAAGUUGCAUCAUGGCCGGAAGGACGGACAGAGAAUAGAUGAGCGCAGCGAACAUCACCGUACUUAUGCCUCCGUACCACGGCCAGCCUCCUCCCCAACCACCCCAAGGUCCGAUGGGGCCGCCCCACCCGGGAAUGAUUUGACGAUUGUCGAACAUUACUUGGCCUUCUUGCUUUGCCGUUUCUGUAAAGCGAAGGAAGAGCAUUUACAAUUCGACGUAACAACAUGUGUUCCACCUUCUACGCCGGUGAAGAUAAUUCUGAAGAAAACUAAUACAACGACCCCAUAGACGAAGAGCAACUUAUUUGAAGCCAUCUGCAAACUGGUAAAUACGUUACUCCACUUCAAAGGCAAUUCAACACACUAUGCCUUCACCGAAUGCCACAGCCUGAUGGGAAACAAAUGUUCAAGCAGUAGGUACAACCAUAUGAACCUAGACACACUUGGAAACUCCCAACGAGCCGUACAGCCACGUAUUUAUCUGAUGCUCAACUGGAAUGAAGAACUUCGCCAGCUCUUUGAUCCUCCGUCAGAGGUUUGCACAUCCAGGAAUGAGCGGACAUUAGCGCUGCAGCGGGUUUUCAUCGGCAGGCGAAACGAAGUAAACGUCGACACGCCCUUGUUAACAAGAACCCCUCGUCUUCACGAGGGGGAAAGUUGGCUCUCGUUAAGAAGCCGUCAAUAGAGUACUGUCGUAGAUAAUUGCAAGUUACGUUCAACAGCCCGUGACGACGUGUCUGACGAACACUAUGGGAAUUUGCUGCAAACUAGUGUUGAGAUACUAUAUCUCUAGAACUAAAGAUACUGCGUGAUGAUCAUUUUUGAGAUAACAUGCUGUUAAAGAAAAUAUUUUGAAGGAAAUGUAUCUCUAACAAUUAAUCUUGUUUGCUUUUUGGCACAAAUAUCAGGUGUACGUCGAGAAUUGUUUUAGAAUUUGGCCUUCAUGCAUUUGAUGAAUACUUCCUAACCGUACAAGGAUGCUUAUGUUUUCAGACAAUUAAGUAAGCCUUUUUCUUAGAUCUACCUACCGGGAGCGACGCCAUGGCUUCGUAUUAGCGCAUCUUAGCCCGAUAGCAAUUUUGUCAUGAAAACACAACAAUACAGCUAUAAAUAAAUGAUGAGAAUGUUGUCCGCUAAAAAAUAUCUCAAAUCAGAGAAAAUAAUCGAAGUUCACAAAUAUCAUAAGUUUUUUGUGUUUGCAAUUUUUGUCACCUGACUCUUGCCUAUAAUAAUUGUGGUAUACAUUAGGUAACACUGUUAGUAGUACUUUAAUAUACAGCGUCUCAGUGUAUGCUUUUUUCUCAAGUAAGUACUUAAUUGAUUGAUUAGGCGAUUGUUGAUAAAUCAGCUUUCAAAAAGUAAAGAUGAUUCGUAACGUGACUGGAAAGACUUAGCUAUGCUUGCUUUUAAAAUUUUAAUAAGGAAUUGGAAUACUGGAUACGACCAUAAAAUGUUUUUUUUUUUUUAUAGAGUUUUGCCUGUGCGAGGAUCUGAGCGACACGUCUUAGAGACACGUUAUUGUAUAGGUUCGAACGCUGGGAACCAAUCUUACGGUGAAAUGCCUAACGCUGAUGUCGAACGUAAAACUAGAAAUACAGGGUUUUUUUUUUGUCUAGCUAUUGAAAGUCUUAGGUUUAAAUCUAGAAAAGCUACUUAUCGCAUUGAUUAAAGGCAUACCCAAACAGAGAUGUAUCAAUCACUUAUCUAUAUUGUUCCUUUACAUCGUACAUUAACGUGAAACUUUCAAGAAGCAACCGUUUUGUCUGACGUUGUUGAAUACCAUAAUUGCCACCCUAGAAUUUCAGUAGCUAUGUUUUGAACGAGCCAAUAUUAGCUUUGCCCGAUACAUUUGAUAUAAUACAUAAAGAAAGACGGCCUAACAUGUGGACAUGUGUUUUUUAAGAGUUAACGAAUUGCUUUAUGACUUUUUCAGAGGUAAUCCAUAACGUUAACGUCUGUCAACAUAACGUCCAUAACGUAUUGGCCUGUAAUAAACUACAUGAAUGAAUUGCUACACUAUAUUAAAGGUAAUUUAGAUGAAAGGCCAAUUUACGUAUCUCGUACAAGGCUCUACACUUUGAAUCCCCGACCAGGAACUUACGUUUUACCUUCUCCCAGAGCACGUACUCGUUGAUACCACGCAGGCGAAAUGCGUGACCGUAACGAAAAGAAGCCUCGGUCACAGAUAACGCCGUAUAAGGAU
rnacentral:lncRNA from 1 species